rnacentral:rRNA from 1 species
AACGAACGCUGGCGGCAUGCCUAACACAUGCAAGUCGAACGAAACCUUCGGGUCUUUUCGCGCACGGGGUCGUCACGCGUCGGAACCUUCCCUUAUGGUCGGCAUAACUCCCCGACAGGGGUGCUAAUACCGGAUCAUGUCUUCUAACCAAAGAUUUAUCGCCUUUGGAUGGUCCCGCGUUGGAUUAGCUAGUUGGUAGGGUAAAAGCCUACUAAGGCGACGAUCCAUAGCUGGUUUGAGAGGAUGAUCAGCCACACUGGGACUGAGACACGGCCCAGACUCCUACGGGAGGCAGCAGUGGGGAAUAUUGGACAACGGGCGAAAGGAUGAUGCAGCAAUGCCGCGUGAGUGAUGAAGGCAUUAGGGUUGUAAAGCUUUUUUACCCGGGAUGAUAAUGACAGUACCGGGAGAAUAAGCUCCGGCUAACUCCGUG